rnacentral:rRNA from 1 species
GAUGAACGCUGGCGGCGUGCCUAAUACAUGCAAGUCGAGCGAACAGACGAGGAGCUUGCUCCUCUGACGUUAGCGGCGGACGGGUGAGUAACACGUGGAUAACCUACCUAUAAGACUGGGAUAACUUCGGGAAACCGGAGCUAAUACCGGAUAAUAUAUUGAACCGCAUGGUUCAAUAGUGAAAGACGGUUUUGCUGUCACUUAUAGAUGGAUCCGCGCCGCAUUAGCUAGUUGGUAAGGUAACGGCUUACCAAGGCAACGAUGCGUAGCCGACCUGAGAGGGGGACCGGCCAACCUGGAACUGGAACCGGGUCCAGACCCCUAGGGGGGGGAGGAGGGGGGAAUUUUCCGCAAGGGGCGAAAGCCGGACGGGGAAACGCCGGGGGGGGGAUGAAGGUUUUGGGAUCGUAAACCGUUUUUUUUGGGGAAGAAAAAAUGUGAAAGUAACUUGGCCCGUUUUGACGGUACCUAACCAAAAAGCCACGGCUAACUACGU